rnacentral:rRNA from 1 species
GACGAACGCUGGCGGCGUGCUUAACACAUGCAAGUCGAACGGUGAAGCCCUUCGGGGUGGAUCAGUGGCGAACGGGUGAGUAACACGUGGGCAAUCUGCCCUGCACUCUGGGACAAGCCCUGGAAACGGGGUCUAAUACCGGAUAUGACCUGCUCCUGCAUGGGGUGGGUGUAAAGCUCCGGCGGUGCAGGAUGGGCCCGCGGCCUAUCAGCUUGUUGGUGGGGUAAUGGCCUACCAA